GCCCGGGUGGCGCCGGACGAUUACAGUUGGAGAGCUGGUGGCAAACUCGCGCAGCAGUGGGUCUGCGUGGCGACACCUCCGACACCUCAGAAAAAUAAACCAAAGGGACAUCGCGGACAAAUACAUCAGCGGACACCACUGCAGGCCAGGAGAAUCUCCACUAAAAUCAUCAGCGCUUCCCCUGUGGCUUUUGGUCCCCCGAAGUGAAAAAAAUGAGGUUUCCGAAAAGUCCAGGGCAAGAACCUGCGGCGAAAUAAGUUCAGGGACUCUCUGAGAAACAGGGAGAGAGAGUGCUUCCAUCUUCGUUUCACUUUAAACUUGGCCGCUUCUCGGACUUCACUGAGGGGCGGCGGCGUAGCACCAGCACGGAGCACAAGCACAUACGAGCGAGCACAUCCAAUACUUUUGGACGCGAGGGUGACUCCUUUUUGCUUCAGGAUUGUCCCACUUGCCCCCCUUCCCUAUCGAGCUGAUAGGAACCGCUGAAGACCAGGAGAUAAAGUGCUCGGACCGAGGUGAGGAGAGGGUACACUUAACCAGCUGUAAGAAGACGAGAGCUGGAGUUCAAAUAUCUUCCUGGGUGCUUAUAAGUAACGGUACCAGCUUCCCAAAUCAUAGUCCUUUCCUUCAAUAACUCUUUUAAAAGUACCCUGAAGACAACAUUAAACGUUUGAAAACAAGUGUUCCGGUUAUUUCUAAGACAUCCUCUUCAUCUAACCCCAGAUCUGCCACCUGCCCCCUGACUCGCGGUGAAAAAGAAUCCUGUAUAAGGGGAUGCUUCUCUUCUGCCUUUUGCAACCCAGGUCAUCCUAGACAUGAAUGAUUUCUAACCAUAUG